GACGAACGCUGGCGGCGUGCUUAACACAUGCAAAUCGAACGGAAAGGCCCUGCUUUUGUGGGGUGCUCGAGUGGCGAACGGAUGAGUAACACGUGAGUAACCUGCCCUUGACUUUGGGAUAACUUCAGUAAACUGGGGCUAAUACCGGAUAGGAGCUCCUGCUACAUGGUGGGGGUUGGAAAGUUUCGGCGGUUGGGGAUGGACUCGCGGCUUAUCAGCUUGUUGGUGGGGUAGUGGCUUACCAAGGCUUUGACGGGUAGCCGGCCUGAGAGGGUGACCGGCCACAUUGGGACUGAGAUACGGACCAGACUCCUACGGGAGGCAGCAGUGGGGAAUAUUGCACAAUGGGCGGAAGCCUGAUGCAGCAACGCCGCGUGCGGGAUGACGGCCUUCGGGUUGUAAACCGCUUUCGCCUGUGACGAAGCGUGAGUGACGGUAAUGGGUAAAGAAGCACCGGCUAACUACGUG
rnacentral:rRNA from 1 species